AAUCAAACAUAGACAAAUGGGAUUACAUUGAGCUAAAAAGCUUUUGCACAGCAAAGAAAACAAUCAGCAGAGUGAAGAGACAACCUACAGAAUUGGGGAGGGGGAGGAAUAUGCAAACUAUCCAUUUCAUAAGGGAUUAAUAACCAGAUUACAUAAAGACAUCUAACAACUCAAUAGCAAAAAGCCACAAAUAAUUUGAUUUAAAACAGGGAAAAUGAUCUGAAUAGACAUUUCACAAGAGAAGACAUACAAAUGGCCAACAAGUGUAGGAAAAAAUGUUCAACAUCAUUAAUCGUCAGGGAAACGAAAACCAAAACCUCAAUGAGAUAUUAUCUCACCUGUUAAAUGGCUACUUUCAAAAACACAAAAAGUAAUAAAUGUUGGCAAGGAUGUGGAGAAAGGGGACCACUCAUACACCGUUGCUGGGAAUAUAAAUUAGUAUAGCCACUAUGGAAAAUAGUAUGGAGGUUUCCCAAAAAUCUGAAAACACGCCUACCAUAUGAUCCAGCAAUUCCACUGCUGGGUAUAUACCCAUAAGAAAAUAAGUCAGUACAUCAAAGAGAUUUGCAUUCUCAUGUUUAUAACAGCAGUAUUCACAAUGGUCAAGAUAUGGAGUCAAUCUAAAUAUUUGUCAAUGGAUGACUGUUAAAGAAAAUGUGAUAUGUAUACACAGUGGAAUAUCAUUCCUCCACAAAAAAGGAAUAAAAUCUGUAAUUUGCAGCAACAUGAAUGGAAAUAGAGUCAUUAUGUUAAGUGAAAUAAUUCAGGCACAGAAAGACAAGUAUCACACGUUCUCACCCAAAUAGGGGAGCUAAGUUGAUCUCAAGGAGGUAGAGAGUAGAAUGAUGUUUACUAGAGGCUGAGAAGGGUAGGGAGAAGGGAGGGAUGAAUAGAGGUUGGUUAAUGGAAACAAAAAUAUAGUCACACAGAAGAAAUAAAUUCUACCAUUUGAUAGCACAGUAGGGUAACUAUAGUCAACAAUAAUUUAUUUGUAUAUUUCAAAAUAGCUAGAAUAAAUGAUUUAGAAUGUUUCCAACACAAAGAAAUGAUAAAUGUUUGAGAUGAUGAUAUCCUAAUUACCCUGAUUUCAUCAUUACACAUUGUAUGAAAAUGUGUCAAAAUAUCACAUAUAUCCCUAAAUAGAUACAAUGAUUAUGUAUCAAUAAAAAUUAAAAUUAGAAAAAAGCAGAAGAGGAAGGCAGAAGAGCCCUUCAGAAGUAUGUGGAGGAGAAGGUGAAGCAGGAGAGAUAAGGUAGAAAAGGAGAGCAGAGCAGAGAGAAGUGUUAGAAGAACUCUACCUACCAUUUCUAUGCAGGCAGACUCUAGUAGCUGGGAAUGACCCCCAGGCAAUAGCCAGCAAGGAAACAGGGACUUCCGUCCUUCCAUUGCAUACAGCUGAAUUCUGCCAAUAUCUUUUUCUUUUCUUUUUUUCUUUUUUUGAGACGGAGUCUCGCUCUGUUGCCCAGGCUGGAGUGCAGUGGCGCAAUCUCAGCUCACUGCAAGCUCUGCCUCCCAGGUUCAUGCCAUUCUCCUGCCUCAGCCUCCCAAGUAGCUGGGACUACAGGCGCCCGCCACCACGCCUGGCUAAUUUUUUUGUAUUUUUAGUAGAGAUGGGGUUUCACUGUGUUAGCCAGGAUGGUCUCCAUCUCCUGACCUCAUGAUCCGCUAACCUCGGCCUCCCAAAGUGCUGGGAUUACAGGCGUGAGCCACUGCGCCCGGCCUGAUCCAUGAAAAUUGAGAGAGAAUAAAUGGGUGUUUUAAACAAAAGAAAAUAAAAAUUCUUUAUAUAAAAAGCC
rnacentral:lncRNA from 1 species